rnacentral:rRNA from 1 species
UUGAACGCUGGCGGCAGGCCUAACACAUGCAAGUCGAACGGUAACAGGAAGCAGCUUGCUGCUUUGCUGACGAGUGGCGGACGGGUGAGUAAUGUCUGGGAAACUGCCUGAUGGAGGGGGAUAACUACUGGAAACGGUAGCUAAUACCGCAUAACGUCGCAAGACCAAAGAGGGGGACCUUAGGGCCUCUUUCCAUCGGAUGUGCCCAGAUGGGAUUAGCUAGUAGGUGGGGUAACGGCUCACCUAGGCGACGAUCCCUAGCUGGUCUGAGAGGAUGACCAGCCACACUGGAACUGAGACACGGUCCAGACUCCUACGGGAGGCAGCAGUGGGGAAUAUUGCACAAUGGGCGCAAGCCUGAUGCAGCCAUGCCGCGUGUAUGAAGAAGGCCUUCGGGUUGUAAAGUACUUUCAGCGGGGAGGAAGGGAGUAAAGUUAAUACCUUUGCUCAUUGACGUUACCCGCAGAAGAAGCACCGGCUAACUCCGUG